rnacentral:rRNA from 1 species
UGGGGAAUUUUGGACAAUGGGGGCAACCCUGAUCCAGCCAUGCCGCGUGAGUGAAGAAGGCCUUCGGGUUGUAAAGCUCUUUCAGUUGGGAAGAAACGGGGUUCUCUAACAUAGGGCUCUACUGACGGUAUCGACAGAAGAAGCACCGGCUAACUACGUGCCAGCAGCCGCGGUAAUACGUAGGGUGCGAGCGUUAAUCGGAAUUACUGGGCGUAAAGGGUGCGCAGGCGGUUGUGUAAGACAGGUGUGAAAUCCCCGGGCUUAACCUGGGAACUGCGCUUGUGACUGCACGGCUAGAGUACGGCAGAGGGGGGUGGAAUUCCGCGUGUAGCAGUGAAAUGCGUAGAUAUGUGGAGGAACACCAAUGGCGAAGGCAGCCCCCUGGGCCGAUACUGACGCUCAUGCACGAAAGCGUGGGGAGCAAACAGGAUUAGAUACCCUGGUAGUCCACGCCCUAAACGAUGUCGACUAGUUGUCCGGAGCGGUAACGCACUGGGUAACGCAGCUAACGCGUGAAGUCGACCGCCUGGGG